rnacentral:lncRNA from 1 species
AUUAAAAUAAUAUUUUGCAAUUUGUCAUGUAAUAGCUUUGACAUGGAGAAUUGGGCCACAGUUUUAAAUGAAACAAAUUUUUCAAAUUGUGAGCUAGAAUGGUGAGUUCUUAACAUCUGAAGUGUAAAAUAAUCUAUGUUUCAUUGGGGUAAAUUGGAUAUCUGAUUGAUUCCUCUGAUAAAAGUAAGUAGGUUUUUAUAGAUCUUUACUAAACUUUGAACAUUUUUAUUAAGAUGUAAUUGAUGCAAGAAGCAUAUUUUAUGUUUGACAAAAGUAUUUACCUGUGAAACUAUAAUCACAAUCAAUAUAAUUACAUAUUCAUCCCCCACAAAAGAUUCCUCAUUCCCGUUUUUAAUCCUUUCCUUCCUGCAAAAUUGACUGUCAGAACUUGUCCAGAGGCAAAUAAUAAUGCCCCAUCCCUAGGCAAGUACUGAUUAUCCUAGAUUAGUUUAUAUUUUUUACAAUUUUAUAUAAAUGGAAUAAUAAUGUUUUUAUUUUUUUAAUUUCCAUCAGCAUAACUAUUUGAAGAUUUAUUUAUGUUAUUGCAAAUAUUAGUAGUACAUUCCUGUAAAUUAGUACUAUUUUUGCCUGGCUAUAAUAAUUAGUUUAUCCACUCAUCUGUUGAUGAAGUGGGGUUGUUUCCAACUUUUGGCUCUUACAAAUAAAGUUACAUGAACAUUCACAUACAAGUCUUUGUAUGAACAUAUGGUUUCAUUUCUUUUGGGUAAAUAGUAAGAGUGUAGUGUCUGGUUCAUAUGUUUUAAAUUUUUAAGAGAUUCCACAAUGUUUUCCAAAGUAGUUAUGCGGUAUUAUAUUCCCUGCAUCAGUUAAUAAAAAUUCCAUUUGCUCCACAUCCUCUCUAACACUUGAUGUGGUCAAUUUUAAUUAGGUGUGUAAUAUAUUUGGUGUUAGAGUUUGUAUGUAGUCCAGUAUAUGAAUCAAAGUUCACUUUUUUUAAUGUGGUAAACAAUCUUAGUGAUUUAGCACCAUUUGUUAAAAGGACUGUCCUCCACUGAAUUCUUUUUGCACCUUUGCAAAGUCAUCUGAUCAUCAAUCAACAGUUCAGUUUUUUAAAUUUAACUCAUAUGUUUGUCUUUAUACUAAUACCAUACUAUCUUGAUGACUAUAAUUUUCUGUAAAUGAACUAUUGUAAUUAGGUUAGAAUCCUCCUAACUAUAUUAAUCUUUUUCAGGGUUGCCUUGGCUAUUUUAGAUUCCUUGUAUUUCCAUUGUAUUUUAGAAUCAACUUGUUGGUUUCUACAAAAACAGGAAGUUUGAUUAGACUUGUAUUAAAUCUGCAAAUUAGAUUUACAGAGAAUUAACAUCUCAAC